rnacentral:rRNA from 1 species
AUGGGUUGUAAACUGCUUUUAUACGGGAAGAAACCCAUCUACGUGUAGGUGGCUGACGGUACCGUAAGAAUAAGCAUCGGCUAACUCCGUGCCAGCAGCCGCGGUAAUACGGAGGAUGCAAGCGUUAUCCGGAAUCAUUGGGUUUAAAGGGUCCGUAGGUGGAUUGGUAAGUCAGAGGUGAAAGCCUGCAGCUCAACUGUAGAACUGCCUUUGAUACUGCUAGUCUUGAAUUAUUGUGAAGUGGUUAGAAUAUGUAGUGUAGCGGUGAAAUGCAUAGAUAUUACAUAGAAUACCAAUUGCGAAGGCAGAUCACUAACAAUAUAUUGACACUGAUGGACGAAAGCGUGGGGAGCGAACGGGAUUAGAUACCCCGGUAGUCCACGCCGUAAACGAUGGUCACUAGCUGUUCGGAUUUCGGUCUGAGUGGCUAAGCGAAAGUGAUAAGUGACCCACCUGGGGAGUACGUUCGCAAGAAUGAAACUCAAAUGAAUUGACGGGG